rnacentral:rRNA from 1 species
UGGGGAGUAUUGGACAAUGGGCGAAAGCCUGAUCCAGCGACGCCGCGUGAGUGAUGAAGGCCUUCGGGUUGUAAUGCUCUGUUGAGGGAGAAGAAAACAGUUAGAACUAAUAUGUCUAGCUCUUGACGGUAUCCCUUUAGAAAGCACCGGCUAACUACGUGCCAGCAGCCGCGGUAAUACGUAGGGUGCGAGCGUUAAUCGGAAUUACUGGGCGUAAAGCGUGCGCAGGCGGUUGUGCAAGACAGGUGUGAAAUCCCCGGGCUUAACCUGGGAACUGCACUUGUGACUGCACAGCUGGAGUGCGGCAGAGGGGGAUGGAAUUCCGCGUGUAGCAGUGAAAUGCGUAGAGAUGUGGAGGAACACCGAUGGCGAAGGCAGCCCCCUGGGUCAAGAUUGACGCUCAUGCACGAAAGCGUGGGGAGCAAA